rnacentral:rRNA from 1 species
UACGAAGGGGGCUAGCGUUGCUCGGAAUCACUGGGCGUAAAGCGCACGUAGGCGGCUUUUUAAGUCAGGGGUGAAAUCCUGGAGCUCAACUCCAGAACUGCCUUUGAUACUGGAAAGCUUGAGUCCGGGAGAGGUGAGUGGAACUCCGAGUGUAGAGGUGAAAUUCGUAGAUAUUCGGAAGAACACCAGUGGCGAAGGCGGCUCACUGGCCCGGUACUGACGCUGAGGCGCGAAAGCGUGGGGAGCAAACAGG